rnacentral:ncRNA from 1 species
AUGUUAUCAAGAAAGGCUGAGGGAAUAGACCCGUUGAAGCCUUAGCAACCCUCCCCCACGGAGAAGGUGCUACAUUCUACCCCUAAGGGGAAAGAUAACCC